CGUUGUAUUCUUCUGUUACAACUUGAAUUUCAAGCUCUUCAGGCAGCAGAGACUUCAUCCUUCAUGAUUACUUGACCAAAAGUUGAGUGACAAUUCGUUGGCAAUAUUUUAUGUUUUAGGUAAGAUUUAUUUUUCAUUUUACUAUGGUGGUGGUGCUAUAAAAGAUGUAUUCAUAAAUUGCAUACCAUAAUAAUCAGUUGGUCCCAUGCAAUCCUAGGGUACCUUAGAAUAAGCAAUAUCUAAGAAAUAUUCAUGUUUCUCUACCCAUACCCCUUAAAUUUAACACGUGUGAAAUAAUUAUAUGAUGCUGCAAAAAAAAAAUUCCUACUCCUUCAGUUUUAAAGCAACACUCCUAAAGCUUUAACUGGUAAUACCUAUUUAUAAAUGUUACAUGAUGGUAGCACAUGUAUAGACAUAUCUUUAACCAGGAACAGAUGGGAUUUUUUUUUGUAACAGAUUUUUGUGAUUCUAUUGGCAGUUUUUAGCAAAAUUACAAAGCAUUUCUUUCAGAUCAGCUGGCGAUAUGUGUCUUGUUGGUAUAUUUUAGAGAUAAGAUAAUUAGAUAAUUAAGAUAAUUAGGUCUAACUAAGCAUCUACAGUUAUGAAUCCUUUAUAAACCUAAACUCUAAAGUACUUUUUCUCUUUAUUUUAGGGAACUAACAAGUAAAUUUACAAUGCCGCGGAAAGGUAAGAAAGGUUCCCAGGGUCCUGGCCGUCCUGCUGCAGAUGACUGCAGAGCAAAAGAGAGAAGACCACACUCAUAGGGUGACCAUACGUCCUCUUUUGCCCGGACAUGUCCUCUUUUGAGACGCUGUCCGGCCUGUCCGGCCGGCGUUUAUAAAGUCCUUCAAAUGUCCGGGUUUUUGAUCUUGCCUAGCUUGAGCGCGUCACAGACCAGUGUAUUUAUCAUUCACGUUGAAUGGUUCCUUUGGAAACACGCUCCGAGAGGCGGAGUUUGAGCCAAACCCCGGAACGUGUAUUAAUCAUUCACAAAGCAGUACAGAGGCGCUCCACGCUCACUCACUCCUCGCAGGCUGACAGGCCGGUAGGCACACUGCGAGAGAACACUUGAACCGAAAGAAAAUACCGAAACGCAAAUGUCAUUUCACUGAUGAAAUGCGAAAAAAGUAGCCCUGUUUUCGUCCGGGUCGUGUCAAAUGGGAGGCAGAAUGUACAGUCUGCAAAGCUGGGACUUAUGUCUCUGUAGCUAAUAAGAGAAGGAAAAAGAAGGAAAAUUUUUCGUGCACGAGCUGGAAGUGUGUCCUCUUUUCAGAGAAACAGAAUAUGGUCACUCAAGCAAGCAAACUUUCUCGGGGUAAAAGGGAUGCCUCUGAGCAUGCCGAGUCAGUCCCUUACAGCACUUAUAGUCGUUUUCUGUUUUAAACAAUACAAGAUUUAAAGCUCCAUGAAAGAAGACAUGCUCUCCUUCUGGUGUUCUUUUCAUGACAAAACAAAAAGCAGCGUUAGCCCUUUCUGUUGUCUUCAAAAGUUUUUUUACAUUCUCAGUCAUAAACAUGAAUAUCACUCCAACAUCACUGAUGUGGUUCCUCUUCUGGUAAAACUUUGUCUGAUAGUUCACAUCUCAGUAGGAAUUGUCCUUCAGGGAGGAAAAAGUAACGCCUGAUCAACUGGUUUCAGUGGAACACGUCGCUACAUGUAGCUUCAAAUCAACUUAAAUCUUCCAGUCAGUCUGUGGUAAAUAUAUUUAAGUACAGCAGCCUUGUUCUCUAAAGCUUUACAAAUGGCUCUGUUACCCUCUACCACACUGAUAGAUGGAAAACGUUCCUGAAUUUCUUUGGAAAUUUAUGAACAUUUAACUGAACUGCAGCAUUUCGUUGCAGCUUUCUGAGAUCUUUCCUUCAUUCAGUCAGACAGCUUCUAUUUAAAUGACUUCUUGGGUGAGCAGGUCUGGAGGUAAUCAUUGCUGGGUGUGUUCAGUGAAAUUGGACUCGCUUUUUAAAAAACGUGAUUAGCCACAAGUAAUUCAGGAUUUAACAAUGUGGAUACCCUUAAAACAUGAAACCAUCAUUUAAAAACUGCAUUUUGUGUUUAAUUUGGCGGUCUUUGUCUGAGAUUUAAAUUUGUUUGAUGCUCUGAAACGUUUAAGUGCGGAAAUAUUCAAAAAAUAAGAAUUCAAGAUAAUUCAGGAUGAAAAAUAUGCAGGAUAGAAAUAAAGGCUUUUUUUUUUUCAAGUUAUAUUUUUUGCCUUUAUUACAGUCCACAGUGGAGAAACAGACAGGAAACACGUGGAGGAGAGCGGGGGGGAAGGCGUGCAGUAAACGUGCAGUUUCUCUUCCCUGUUAAAAGGCUGUUUUCUUGCCACUGUCGCCUUUGGGCUGCUCUGGGGGUCAGGCAUACGGGUUCUGUAAAUCAUCUUGAGACAAUUUGACUGUAAUUGACGCUAUAGAAAUAAAACUGAAUUGAAUUAAACGGCCGUGGGUUGAACUUGAACCCAUGACCGUCACCAACAGCCCUUAUUUACGGUCCUGUUCAACCUGUUGAGCUUCAGAGGCGCCUAAAGGACACAUUUUUAGCUUUUUUUUUUUUUAAAGUUCCUCAUGAGUCCCACAGUGUUAGAGACACUCAGUGCUAAACUGGUGUAGUGCUCUUUAAACCCCAUGCAGCACUGGAUUUCAAAGCAUUCAGUCCAGGAAGGGUCCGACCAGGGAAAGAACAGCAGCAAAGCUCUUUACCUUCAGCAGGUUGACUCGAGCUUUCUGUCCUCCACUCAGCGUGGCUCCUCUGUCCCCGAUCAGCGUCUGGUCUCCAUCAGGGAGCAGCUGCAGGUCCUGCAAAGGCGGACAUCAGAGCAUUAUUACUGCACAACCCACACAGCAGGACGUCCAUGUCGGCUGUAGACGGGACACGGAGAAAGAAAAGCAGCCUUUCUUCAAACUGAAUCCUCCCAACAGACUUAGACUUACAAUGACUCAGCAAUUAUUGUCCUGCUGAAAGCAAACGGACAAUAAGUGAGCUGCUCAGAGCACACUGCAGCAUCAGUAAACUGUGUAACCGCAUGGAUGAACACUGACUGGAUUAUUGGACACAGAUAAGACACACAGUGAAUGAGGAGAGCGUCUGCAUCACACCAGAAUACAGAACAAGUCCGAUCAUUAGGACAGCUUGGUUCCAGAACAGCAGAUCAAUACGUGGAUUUAUUAUGUGGAUAAAUCCUCACAGUCAGACCAGUGACUCAUUAACUGAACACAGCUUCAUGAACUUCUCCUGACAGAUGAGUGCAAUCGUAGCUCAACGUAAGCAACAAAUGACCCAUAAAACAUGAAGAAAAGAUUAAGAUUUAAAUAACACGAGUCUCUUCAGAAGAAGACGGACAUUUAGUGAGCUCUCAGUCAUUCAGAAAAGCAAAAAAGACAACCAAGAUAGCAUUUAAAGUUUAGCACAGUCUGCUGUGGAACAUCCAGCCCACAGUCACGCCUCCACAAAAGUUGUGUCGGUGUUCUUACUCGCUCAAAACAUUUCCGUGUCAUUCUCUGAACCGGAGCGUCACGUUAACAGAAGAGCUUUGAGUUGUGUGAAGUGAUUUCAGGAACAUCAGAGAGCAUUAAUACGUGGUUGGUGUGUCGAAACCACAGCACACCUGUCUCAUCAACUGUUCCAAAGCCAUUGGGCUCCAAAUGAAAUGCCACUAAUAAUACAAUUUAACACGGCCUCCAUGACAGCAAAUAAAUCUAAACAUCCUGAGGCAACAGUAGAAGGACUUGGCUUUGCCACAAACCACAAAAUGACUCAUGUAAGUACACUGGCAGUCAGAAGCUUCAACACAUCGUCUUAUCUGAAGGAUUUUAUUUAUUUUCACGACUUUUUACAUUCUAGAUUCUCACUGAAGGCAUCAGAACUGUGAAGCUCGUCCACAGAAUGCCAACAGUGAGGAAAGCAGGAAUCAAAGCAGCAGGUGGCUGUUUGAAAGAACCUAAAAUAGAAAAGAUGUUUGGACUCCAUUCUUUCCUACAUAAUUCCAGAUGUGUUCAUUCAUAGUUUUGACGCCUUCAGAGAGAAUCUACAACGUAAACAUUAAUGAAAACAAACAAAGACCAUGAAGUGAGAAAGUGUGUCCAAACGUUUGACUAAUCAACUGUCAGAAAUGUUUAAGACUCUUAACCCUUUAAGCUGCAGUCAAUUCCAGCCAUUUUCAGUACAAAAAAAAAUAAAAUUCGCCAAUAUUUUAUUUGUAAAUAAAAAAAUGACGAGAAAUACAGGGAAUAUUGGACGGGCAUCGCGAGGUGCAUUUCCUUGAAAACGACCGAUUCGUGGAUUUUAUACCGACUUCAGGACAUGUUUUGGACAAAAUAGUUUACUGGCUUGUGUCAUCUGGAUGUAAAAGGUUGGAUUAUGGCCGUUUUUUGUGGAAUCUUUUCAUCUGUGUGUAAUAAUGAACCCAGAAAUGUGAGUCGCUCUGUGUGCGUUGAAGCCGUGUAUAGAGAACGGAUGGAUGAAUAUUCGUUGUUUGUCGGACAAAUGUGUUUAUAUUACCGCUGUGGUAAUCACAUCUGAAAGUGGUUUAUACCGGCGGAUUCAUGAGAAUCUAAGCUUUCCAUCAACGUAUAGUGUUUAUAUAAUCGCGUUUGCGGCCUUCAGACAUUCUUUAAAUUCCUAUGCAAAUUAGUAGGUGUACCGCCGGCGGGACACUGAAGCUUAAGGGGCAAGUUUUUUGAGCAAAUGGUGACAGAAGCAUUUCUAAAUCCUAAUAUGAUGUCACUCAUAAGCUAGAGGUAACAGAGGCAGUUAUUGUUCAUCUUUAUGAGCCCAAACAUCCAUAACGGUCAUUUCAGUACAUCCAGGUACUUCAGAGAGUCUGAACAGAGUCUGCACCAACUCCCUGCAUGUGCAGCCUCCUGUCUUUGAGCUUUUUCUGUAUUUACCCAACCAUUUAUCAUAAAGUUUAAACUCUCAAUCAAC